rnacentral:misc_RNA from 1 species
GAUGAAGAACGUAGCGAAAUGCGAUAAGUAAUGUGAAUUGCAGAAUUCAGUGAAUCAUCGAAUCUUUGAACGCACAUUGCGCCCCCUGGUAUUCCGGGGGGCAUGCCUGUUCGAGCGUCAUUUCACCACUCAAGCCUCGCUUGGUAUUGGGCAACGCGGUCCGCCGCGUGCCUCAAAUCGACCGGCUGGGUCUUCUGUCCCCUAAGCGUUGUGGAAACUAUUCGCUAAAGGGUGUUCGGGAGGCUACGCCGAAAAACAACCCCAUUUCUAAGGUUGACCUCGGAUCAGGUAGGGAUACCCGCUGAACUUAAGCAUAUCAAUAAGCGGAGGA